UACGUAGGGCGCAAGCGUUGUCCGGAAUUAUUGGGCGUAAAGAGCUCGUAGGCGGUUUGUCGCGUCUGCUGUGAAAACCUAAGGCUCAACCUUGGGCUUGCAGUGGGUACGGGCAGACUAGAGUGCGGUAGGGGGUGACUGGAAUUCCUGGUGUAGCGGUGGAAUGCGCAGAUAUCAGGAGGAACACCGAUGGCGAAGGCAGGUCACUGGGACGUUUACUGACGCUGGAGGGCGCGGAAAAGCGUGGGGGAGCGAACAGG
rnacentral:rRNA from 1 species